UACGUAGGAGGCAAGCGUUGCUCGGAAUCACUGGGCGUAAAGCGCACGUAGGCGGCUUUUUAAGUCAGAGGUGAAAUCCUGGGGCUCAACUCCAGAACUGCCUUUGAUACUGGAGAGCUUGAGUCCGGGAGAGGUGAGUGGAACUGCGAGUGUAGAGGUGAAAUUCGUAGAUAUUCGCAAGAACACCAGUGGCGAAGGCGGCUCACUGGCCCGGUACUGACGCUGAGGUGCGAAAGCGUGGGGAGCAAACAGG
rnacentral:rRNA from 1 species